UCGAGAAUUUUUCACAAUGGGCGCAAGCCUGAUGGAGCGACGCCGCGUGAGGGAUGAAUGGCUUCGGCUCGUAAACCCCUGUCAUUCGCGAUCAAACGUUGGUAUUUAAAAGAUGCCAGCCUGAUAGUACCGGAAGAGGAAGGCACGGCUAAAUCUGUG
rnacentral:rRNA from 1 species